AACGAACGCUGGCGGCAUGCCUAAUACAUGCAAGUCGAACGAUCACUUCGGUGGUAGUGGCGCACGGGUGCGUAACGCGUGGGAAUCUGCCCUUGGGUUCGGAAUAACAGCGGGAAACUGCUGCUAAUACCGGAUGAUGACGAAAGUCCAAAGAUUUAUCGCCCAAGGAUGAGUCCGCGUAGGAUUAGGUAGUUGGUGAGGUAAAGGCUCACCAAGCCGACGAUCCUUAGCUGGUCUGAGAGGAUGAUCAGCCACACUGGGACUGAGACACGGCCCAGACUCCUACGGGAGGCAGCAGUAGGGAAUAUUGGACAAUGGGGGCAACCCUGAUCCAGCAAUGCCGCGUGAGUGAUGAAGGCCUUAGGGUUGUAAAGCUCUUUUACCCGAGAUGAUAAUGACAGUAUCGGGAGAAUAAGCUCCGGCUAACUCCGUG
rnacentral:rRNA from 1 species